rnacentral:rRNA from 1 species
AUUGAACGCUGGCGGCAGGCCUAACACAUGCAAGUCGGACGGUAGCACAGAGGAGCUUGCUCCUCGGGUGACGAGUGGCGGACGGGUGAGUAAUGUCUGGGUAUCUGCCCGAUAGAGGGGGAUAACCACUGGAAACGGUGGCUAAUACCGCAUAACGUCGCAAGACCAAAGAGGGGGACCUUCGGGCCUCUCACUAUCGGAUGAACCCAGAUGGGAUUAGCUAGUAGGCGGGGUAACGGCCCACCUAGGCGACGAUCCCUAGCUGGUCUGAGAGGAUGACCAGCCACACUGGAACUGAGACACGGUCCAGACUCCUACGGGAGGCAGCAGUGGGGAAUAUUGCACAGUGGGCGCAAGCCUGAUGCAGCCAUGCCGCGUGUAUGAAGAAGGCCUUCGGGUUGUAAAGUACUUUCAGCGGGGAGGAAGGCGAUGUGGUUAAUAACCGCGUCGAUUGACGUUACCCGCAGAAGAAGCACCGGCUAACUCCGUGCCAGCCGCCGCGGUAA